rnacentral:rRNA from 1 species
UACAGAGGUCUCAAGCGUUGUUCGGAUCAUUGGGCGUAAAGGGUGUGUAGGUGGCGCGCUAAGUCGGGUGUGAAAUUUCGGAGCUUAACUCCGAAACUGCAUUCGAUACUGCCGUGCUUGAGGACUGGAGAGGAGACUGGAAUUUACGGUGUAGCGGUGAAAUGCGUAGAUAUCGUAAGGAAGACCAGUGGCGAAGGCGGGUCUCUGGACAGUUCCUGACGCUGAGGCACGAAGGCCAGGGGAGCAAACGGG